rnacentral:rRNA from 1 species
UACGUAGGUGGCAAGCGUUGUCCGGAAUUAUUGGGCGUAAAGCGCGCGCAGGCGGUCCUUUAAGUCUGAUGUGAAAGCCCACGGCUCAACCGUGGAGGGUCAUUGGAAACUGGGGGACUUGAGUGCAGGAGAGAAGAGUGGAAUUCCACGUGUAGCGGUGAAAUGCGUAGAGAUGUGGAGGAACACCAGUGGCGAAGGCGGUUGCCUGGAGCUUUGCUGACGCUGAGGCGCGAAAGCGUGGGGAGCGAUCCGG